rnacentral:lncRNA from 1 species
AGGAGCCCGACCUAGACACUCUCUUUAGCCUACACAUGCCAGACUCUCCCUUUAGAGGAAAAAGGGACUUCUCACCAAGCCACACCCCUUGAAACUGCUUCCUCGGGUGCACCUGGAGUGUUCUCACUCCUCGGCCCCAGUUCCCACUCACACUUCCUGGAGCUGGAGGAGGGGGCAAGAGGGUGAUGCGUCAUAAGCCUGCAUGGACAUUGUCACUGAAAUGAAAGCUCAGCUUCCAGGGUCCGGAGACGGCUUUGGCCCCAAGGUGCCAGGGACAGCAUAAGCUGCCGGGACCUGGCGAGGCCCAGGGGGCGAGCCUUCGGGCAACAUCUAGCCUGGCACUCCUGGUUUCGUGCUGGAGGAGCAGGACCUACGGGUGCCAGUGCCAGUACGGGUGCCAGUGCCCCAGCCUCGCCUCCCCUGCAGCUCCCUCCUGGGCCAGGCCGAACACCAUCGUUUCACAGUCCACUUACUGAGCUGAGAAGACCUCCUCGUAUGAAGAUCUGGGAAGGCCUGAGCUUUCACCGGCCUGCAAGCUCACGGGCGAGCCUGCCAUGGUUGAAGGACGCUGGCAGAAGACCAGAGACCCUGGCCCAGGGCAGAGGACUCUGUCACUCACGGCACGGCACGUUGCUCAGUGUGAACGAGCUUCCUCUUCACUCCCGUUUCCUUUGCUCCCCAAACCCCACGGGGGCUACGCAGAGGCCCAGGUGGAUUCUGUGGCACAGCUGGGUUUGCCUCACCGCCGGGGAUCCCCGUGCUUAGGAAACGCCGGACUGUCAUGAGGGGCUGCGAAGCAAACCUGCCCAACCUUUCCCGGGGGUGGACGUCGUCUUUGUUACACUGGACAGCGAGCAAAUCUCGCUUCUGCCCCAGAGGGAGACGCUGUCCCUGCGCGCCGAGACUUUCACUAUAUACACGUCCUUGACGAGAGUCCAGAGCAAAAGGCCGUCGGCGCAUCUGCUCCUGAGACUUGCAGAAACGUGGGGAACCAGUGAAAAAUUGUCUCCGACAUCCGAGACCCAGAGGAAGCCCAGGCCAACGGGCGCAGGGUGCUGGCUUUUCCGCUGCCUUAGGUUUCACCGCGGGUGCCGUCUAGCCCCGUCCCCCACGUCUCCGUGGCCAGCACAGGGCCCGAAAUGAGACCGCUCAUAAAUAACUGAAAAAAUCACACUUACCUCAGAUUGUACCCUACUAUGUCAAUCAUGUUGGAACAAAUUAGCGUUUCUGAAACAAGAGUUAUGGCAGAAGUGACUGCGAUGUUCCGAUGUUUCUAGGUGUUGGCACGGAUACUGUUCGGUCCCAACCCCAGGAGGGACAGAGGACGAAGCAGAAAUGCCUUGUGGGAUGUGCAGCCCAAGAAGCCACAGGCAGGACAUGGGAGCCGGAGGCGGCACGAGAGCGUCACCCGCACCAAAGGAUUCUCGGGGUCUCGGGACUUGGGAGCCGGAGGCGGCACGAGAGCGUCACCCGCAUCAAAAGAUUCUCGGGGUCUCGGGACUUGGGAGCCGGAGGCGGCACGAGAGCGUCACCCGCAUCAAAAGAUUCUCGGGGUCUCGGGACUUGGGAGCCGGAGGUGGCACAAGAGCGUCACCCCCACCGAAGGAUUCUUGGGGUCUUGGGAGAACCUUGUACUUGACGAGGGAGGCGGAACGGGCUUGAUCCAUUCUUAUGUCUAGGCCCCAUGGAAAGAAUGACUCCAGUUGGCAUUUGUGUUGUAUGUUUGUAUACACACACACACACACACACACACGUACAUAUGGAUCUGUGUGUGAUCUGGUCCAUUGGUCUAUGUUGGUUUUACGAGUCUAACUCUCGGAAUCCUAGUGAUACCUUAUUGUUAUCCUUGUUACCAUCAUAAAAGGGACCUCAGGGUCCAGUGAUGUAGUGUGUAGUUAUGUAUACUGCUUUAGAAACAUGAAGAAACUCAGGUCUGGGCCAGGCACAGUGGCUCACACCUGUAAUCCCAGCACUUU